AACGAACGCUGGCGGCGUGCCUAACACAUGCAAGUCGAGCGCGAAAAGGGCAACCUGAGUAGAGCGGCGCACGGGUGCGUAACACGUGGGUAAUCUGCCUUAGAGUCGAGGAUAACCUUCCGAAAGGUUGGCUAAUACUCGGUAAGCUUACGGUGUCUUCGGACGCUGUGGGAAAAGUAGGCCUCUGUUUACAAGCUUACGCUCCGAGAUGAGCCCGCGGCCCAUCAGCUAGUUGGCGGUGUAACGGACCACCAAGGCAACGACGGGUAGCUGGUCUGAGAGGACGAUCAGCCACACUGGAACUGAGACACGGUCCAGACUCCUACGGGAGGCAGCAGUGGGGAAUUUACCACAAUGGGCGAAAGCCUGAUGGAGCAACGCCGCGUGUGUGAUGAAGGUUCUCGGAUCGUAAAGCACUUUCGACCGGGACGAAAAACCUCUGGCUAACAUCCAGGGGCCUGACGGUACCGGGAGAAGAAGCACCGGCUAACUCUGUGCCAGCCGCCGCGGUAA
rnacentral:rRNA from 1 species